UACGGAGGGUGCAAGCGUUAGUCGGAAUUACUGGGCGUAAAGGGUGCGUAGGCGGGGACAAACGUCAGGUGUGAAAUUCCGGGGCUCAACCCCGGCGCUGCAUCUGAAACGGUGUCUCUUGAGGACUGGCGGAGAGAAUGGAAUUCCAUGUGUAGCGGUGAAAUGCGUAGAUAUAUGGAAGAACACCUGUAGCGAAAGCGAUUCUCUAGCUUAAUCCUGACGCUGAGGCACGAGAGCAAGGGGAGCAAACAGG
rnacentral:rRNA from 1 species